GACGAACGCUGGCGGCGUGCCUAAUACAUGCAAGUAGAACGCACAGUUUAUACCGUAGCUUGCUACACCAUAGACUGUGAGUUGCGAACGGGUGAGUAACGCGUAGGUAACCUGCCUGGUAGCGGGGGAUAACUAUUGGAAACGAUAGCUAAUACCGCAUAAUAUUGAUUAUUGCAUGAUAAUUGAUUGAAAGAUGCUAUUGCAUCACUACCAGAUGGACCUGCGUUGUAUUAGCUAGUAGGUGAGGUAACGGCUCACCUAGGCGACGAUACAUAGCCGACCUGAGAGGGUGAACGGCCACACUGGGACUGAGACACGGCCCAGACACCUACGGGAGGAAGCAGUAGGGAAUCAUCGGCAAUGGAAGAAAGUAGGACAGAGCAACGCAGAGUGAGUGAAGAAGGAUUUCGGAUCGUAAAGAUCUGUUGUAAGAGAAGAACGGGUGUGAGAGUGGAAAGUUCACACUGUGACGGUAUAUUACCAGAAAGGGACGGCUAACUACGUG
rnacentral:rRNA from 1 species